GAUGAACGCUGGCGGCGUGCCUAAUACAUGCAAGUCGAGCGAACAGACGAGGAGCUUGCUCCUCUGACGUUAGCGGCGGGCGGGUGAAUAACACGGGGAUAACCUACCUAUCAUACUGGGAUACCUGCGGGAAACCGGAUCUAAUACGGUAGGAUAUCUUGAACCGCAUUGUGCAAUAAUGAUAGACGGUUUUGGUGUCACUUAUCGAUGUAUCCGCGCCGCAUUGGCUAGUUGGUAAGGUAACGGCUUACCAAGGCAACGAUGCGUAGCCGACCUGAGAGGGUGAACGGCCACACUGGAACUGAGACACGGUCCAGACUCCUACGGGAGGCAGCAGUAGGGAAUCUUCCGCAAUGGGCGAAAGCUUGACGGAGCAACGCCGCGUGAGUGAUGAAGGUCUUCGGAUCGUAAAACUCUGUUAUUAGGGAAGAACAAAUGUGUAAGUAACUAUGCACGUCUUGACGGUACCUAAUCAGAAAGCCACGGCUAACUACGUG
rnacentral:rRNA from 1 species